AGUUAAUUUAGGAAAAAGAAAAGAGAGUUAGGGUUAUAAAGGUGUUGGGGGGACCUUGGGUUGCGUGCUAAAAGAAAAAAAAAAAAAUUCUUCUUCCCUUCUUCUCCUUUCUCCAGAAUGGCGAAACACCCCCCACUGUGCAUCUCCGCCGCCACCGCUCGACCGUGGGUCCACAGCCGCGCGAGUUUCGCCGUUCUAGCCGUGCCUAGCCGAUCGUUGCUUUCUUUUCUUCCCUGUCCGUCGGCCCGACGCCGUCGAAGCCACUGAAGCCGGAGUUCGCGAGGCUCUCAUCUUCGCCGUCGACCGAGUCCGAAACCGCCGAAUGCUGAAGCCGCUGAAGUCGCGAGCCUUUGCCGUCGACCCGAAACACCGAUCGAACAGCCGAAGCUGCAACUCGGAGCCGCGUCGUCCUUUCCGUCUGCCUGUCGCCGGUUCAGGUCGCCGUGGAUCGCGGUGGUUCCGACCGAUCUGUCUAUUGGGGUAAGUUCGGCUGGAAGCCCAUUGUCUCUUGAGAUGUUGGGGCCUAAGCUAACUUUCACCGUGGAAUUUGUGGUUGGUUUCAGGAAAAGUUGUUGAGUGGAGCAAGGUUUCGUUUUGGAUUUUGAUAAGCUUGCUGAAAAUUUUUUAUGUAUAUGUGAGUAAAUUGUGAUAAAAUUAAUUGUGCUAAAGUUGAUAAGUUGGACGUAAGGGUUAAGGGGAUAUUGUGAUAAGGUGCAUGAAUAGGCUGGGGAUGCCUGUGACUUUGCCUUCUCGUGUUCGCCCCUUAUGCCUAUGCUUGCAUUUUAACGCAUGACAAAAGAGAUCUGUGACCUGGGCCAUUAGGACGAUUUACUGUUGAAGGGUUAGGAACCAAGCGGUAAAGUGCUGCAUGUGGUCACCAGGUAUGGCGCCACAAACUAGAGGAAGAGGCGGUCGAGGCAGGAAAGUAGUUGGGGAGCGGGACCCCGACUUGCAAGAACCCGAGAUACAGAGCCAAGGUGCGAGACCCGCCAUCUCGUGACCCCUCUAGGUUAACUUGGUAGAGGGUUAGACACAAGAAGUGGGCUCGAGCUUCGAUUGUGCCCUGCCAGGAUCGUCAUCCUCAGAAUUCCAAUAGAAUAUACGGCUAUGGCUGCAGCUAUUGGGACGUUGUCAUGCAGGCCGUGGUGGGACAGUUAAGGGGCAUGGUAGCCGAGCAGAUAGCCCAACACGUACAGUCAUAGCAGGCGCCAUCCUCGUCAGUCCCGUUACCACUAGUUCAAAAUCAGGAUAGGGCCACGAGUCGGACUGUGGCAGGCCUUUCUUUGGAAGCUGGAUACCUGCGAGAGGCCUUUGGAAGCUGGAUACCUGCGAGAUUUCAAGAAGUAUGAUCCCCCGUCUUUUAACGGAUCUCUAAAAGACCCCACAAAUGCAGAAUUGGGGUUGUCCACUGUUGAGGGGAUCUUUCAGUACAUGAGGUGUCCAGAGGAGUAGAAGUUGCAGUGUGUCGCUUUUGUUCUCAUCGACAAUGUCAAGCGCUGGUGGUGCUCGACUGAGAGAAUGAUAGAAGCUGGUGGAGGCCAAGCCAUGUGGGAUCAGUUCAAGGAGCAGUUUUACGAGAAGUACUUCUCUACUCAUGUGAGGUACAACAAGCAGACUAAGUUCAUGAACUUGAAGUAGGGGACCAUGACAGUAGAAGAGUAUGAAGAGGAGUUUGACAAAUUGUCUUGCUUUGCCCCUGAUCUAGUAUCUACCGAAGCAAAGAGGGUUGAAAGAUUUGUGCAAGGACUUCGAGACGGGGUGCGAGGCAUUGUGCAAGCUCUGGAGCCUCCCACCUACGUCGCAGCCUUCCGAGAGGCAGCACGUGUGGGUUGUCCUUCAGGGAUAGAAUUCCUGAAGUCCUUGACCGGCCCCCGACCAGAAGAGGAAAGUUGAGCAGAAAGUUCCAGGACCUCCGUAGAAGGCCCAGAGUACAAGCAGGUCAGUAGGGCAUGCCCAACGACAGACUACUACUUCAGGAGGAGUUUGGAGGGAAAAGCCAGUGUGCAAGUCAUGUGGGAAGUGUCAUUGAGGACGUUGUCUGAUUGACACAGGAACUUGUUUCAGAUGUAAGCAGAUAUGGCAUAUGGCAGACCAAUGCCCUAUUAGUGGUUCCAGAAGUGCGGGGGUCAGCCCUCGAGUUCGCAUCAGGGUAGUUCAAAUCGACAGCAGUAGCAGGGUUGGGUCUAUGCCACCAAUCGUCGGGAAGCUGAGCACUCGGAAACAGUGGUGAUAGGUACGCUCUUAAUCUUGGGGCACUAUGCCUUGAUGUUGUUUGACUCUGGCUCAUCCCAUUCUUUCAUUUCUUCGUUGUUUGUAAAGCAUGCCAUGUUAGUUUUGGAACAUUUGGGUUAUGUUUUAUCAGUGUCUACACUGUCAGGAGAAAUUAUGAUAGCAAGUGAAAAGAUAAAAGUAUGCCAGUUAGAAAUAGCAAACCGCACCCUUGAUGUGACUCUGAUAGUAUUAGACGUGUGAUUUCGAUGUAAUUCUGGGCAUGGAUUGGUUGGCUGCCAACCAUGCUGGCAUAGAUUGUUCUCGUACGGAGGUGAAUUUUAAUCCCCUUAGGGGGUUGGACAGUAGUUUUGCCCAAGGUGAUUUCAACAGUUAAGGCCAAGAGAUCAAUUAACCAAGGUGUUUGGAGUAUCUUGGCUAGCAUAGUUAACACAAGAGAAGCCGAGGUUGCACUAACCUUUGAACCAGAUGUGAGAGAUUAUCCCAAUGUAUUUCCAGAAGAACUUUUAGGAUUGCCUCCACCAAGGGAGAUUGAUUUUUCGAUCGAACUGGAGCUAGGCACUAUUCCUAUAUCCAAAGCACCGUACAGAAUGGCUCCGACAGAAUUGAAAGAACUGAAGGUUCAAUUGCAGGAACUGCUUGAUAAAGGGUUCAUACGACCCAGUGUUUCUCCGUGGGUGCACUAGUGUUGUUUGUGAAGAAAAAGGAUGGGUCGUUAUGUUUAUGCAUAGACUACAGGGAGUUGAAUAAGGUGACCAUCAAGAAUAAAUACCCGCUUCCUAGAAUCGAUGACCUGUUUGGCUAGCUACAGAGUGCUACCGUAUUUUCCAAGAUUGACCUACGAUCAGGUUACCAUCAGCUGAGGAUCAGGGACAACGAUAUCUCAAAGACUGCAUUUUGAUCCAGAUACGGGCAUUACGAGUUCAUUGUAAUGUCUUUAGGUCUGACCAAUGCUCCAGCGGUAUUCAUGGAUUUGAUGAACCGGGUGUUCAGGGACUUCCUAGACACCUUUGUAAUCGUUUUUAUUGAUGACAUCUUGGUAUACUCCAAGAUAGAGGUGGAACACGAGGAACAUCUUAGGAAGGUCCUAGGAACACUGAGAGAAAACAAACUGUAUGCAAAGUUUUCUAAGUGUGAGUUCUGGCUACGGAAGAUGUCCUUCCUUGGGCAUGUGGUGUCGAAGGAUGGGGUUUCAGUGGAUCCAGCUAAGAUUGAGGCCGUUACCAAUUGGCCCCGCCCUACAACAGUUAGUGAGGUGAGUAGCUUCCUGGGAUUGGCUGGAUACUAUCGUAGGUUUAUAGAGAAUUUCUCUAGCAUGGCCACAUCGUUGACUCAGCUAACCAGGAAGGGAGCUUCGUUUGUUUGGAGAAAAACUUGUGAGGACAGUUUUCAGGACCUCAAGUAGAGGUUGGUUUCAGCCCUGGUUCUCAUCGUACCAGACGGCUCCGGGAACUUCAUGAUCUAUAGUGAUGCUUCUAAGAAGGGUUUGGGUUGCGUGCUUAUGCAACAUGGUAGGGUGGUCGCCUACGCCUCCCGCCAGUUGAAGAACCAUGAGCGCAACUAUCCUACCCACGACUUGGAAUUGGCAGCGGUAGUGUUUGCCCUGAAGAUUUGGAGGCACUACUUGUAUGGGAAAAAAUCCAAGUGUUCGCUGACCACAAGAGUCUGAAAUACUUCUUCACCCAGAAAGAGUUAAACAUGAGGCAGCGUAGGUGGCUCGAGUUAGUAAAGGAUUAUGACUGCGAGAUCCUCUACCACCCAGGUAAGGCAAAUGUGGUAGCCGAUGCCCUCAGUCGAAAGGUAGCUCAUUCGGCUGCCUUGAUCACUAAGCAGGUUCAGUUGUGUAAAGACCUGGAACGAGUAGAGAUUGCGGUGGUAGUGGGGGGAAAUCACUUCGCAGCUAGCCCAGUUGAUAGCACAACCAACCUUGAGGUAGAGCAUUAUUGUUGCAUAAUAGGGUGACCUCGACCUGGUUCAGAAGUGUUGUCAGGUAGGGUUGGGUCAGGCAAGUGAAUUUUCUGUAUCAGUGGACAAGGGUCUUUUGUAUUAGGGACGGUUGUGCGUCCCAGCAGAUGAUGGUCUGAAAGGAGAACUGUUGGCAGAAGCUCAUAACUAUCCAUUCUCGAUGCACCCAGGUAGUACCAAAAUGUACCAAGAUGUGAAACGGUAUUACUGGUGGCUCAAUAUGAAAAAGGGAGAUAGCUGACUAUGUCAGUAGAUGUUUAGUCUGUCAGCAGGUGAAGGCCCCGAGGCAGAAGAUAGCAGGCUUGCUACAACCGUUGGAUGUGCCAGAAUGGAAAUGGGAGAGCGUGGCUAUGAAUUUUAUUAUGGGUUUGCCCAGGACAGCGAAGGGUUUCUCGAUGAUUUGGGUUGUGAUAGACAGACUCACCAAGGUGUACAUUUUAUUCUAGGAAAGCCCACGUACACUGUGAGUAAGUGGGUUCAGUUAUAUAUGAAGGAGAUAGUAAGGUUGCAUGGUGUGUCAGUGUCAAUUGUGUCCGACAGGGACCCUCGUUUCACCUUCAGUUUUUGGAAGAGCCUCCAGGCAGCUUUAGGGUCGCAGUUGAACUUCAAUAUAACUUUCCACUCCCAAACUGAUGGGUAAACAGAACGUAUAAAUCAGACGUUGGAGGACAUGUUGCAUGCUUUUGCGUUGGAAUUCUCAGGGGGUUGGGACUCCCACUUUCAUUUGGCAGAGUUUACUUAUAAUAAUAGCUAUCAGGCUACCAUUGGCAUGUCGCCGUUUGAAGCUCUUUAUGGCAGAGGUUGCAGGUAUCCUGUUUGCUGGGGUGCGAUGGGAGAGGAAACUGGUGGAAUUGAGUUAGUGGAGUUGACGAAUGAAGCCAUGCAGAAGAUCAGGGUUAGAAUGCUAGCAGCGCAAAGUAGACAGAAAAGUUUAUGCGGAUGUUUAGGCGUAAAGAUCUGGAGUUGAAGCAGGUGACAAGGUUGUUCCUGAAAGUGGCACUGAUGAAGGGUGUCCUGAAGCUUUGGGAGGUGCCACUUGGUGAAGGUUCUAUGGUAGAACCAUCAGUUUGAGGAAGCAAACUUAGGAGCGAGAGGACGAGAUGAGGGCACUGCAUCCAAGAGUUCUUCUAGGAUUAGAACUUCCGAGGAUGAAAGUUUAUUAACGGGGGAAGAGUGUGACAGCCACCAAAGAUUCGUUUUUUUAAAAAAAAAAAGAAAAAGAAAAAAAAGAAAUUCUUCUUCCCUUCUUCUCCUUUCUCCAGAAUCGUGAAACACCCCCCCACUGUGCAUCUCCACCGCCACCGUUCGACCGUGGGUCCACAGCCGCGCGAGUUUCGCCGUUCAGUCGUGCCUAGCCGAUCGUUGCUUUAUUUUCUUCCCUGUCCGUCGCUGGAUGCCGUCGAAGCACUGAAGCCGGAGCUCGCGACGCUCUCAUUUCGCCGAUCGACUGAGUCCGAAACCGCCGAAUGCUGAAGCCGCGAGCCUUUGCCGUCGACUUGAAACACCGAUCGAACAGUUGAAGCUGCAACUUAGAGCCGCAUCGUUUCCAGCCAUGUCGUCCUCUCCGUUCGCCUGUCACCGGUUUAGGUCACCGUGGAUCGCGGUGGUUUCGACCGAUCUGUCUAUUGGGGUAAGUUCGGUUCCUUGUUUGGAAGCCCAUUGUCUCUUGAGAUGCUAGAGCCUAAGCUAAUCUUCACCAUGGAAUUUGUGAUUGGUUUCAGGAACGUGUGGCGGUGAAGAAAGUUGUUGAGUGGAGCAAGGGUUCGUUUUAGGUCAGUUCGUAUCCUGAGGUAAGUGGUUUACUGUCGGUUGCCCUAAGAUUUUGAUAAGCUUGCCGAGAAAUUUUUAUGUCAUAUAUGAGUAAACUGUGAUGAAAUCUGUUAUGGGUAAUUGUGCUAAAGUUAACGUAUGAGAAUACCGUGAUGUAUACUGUGAUGAAGUUGGACGUAAGGUUUAAGGGGAUAUUGUGAUAAGGUACGUGAGUAGGCUGGGGAUAGUGUGCUAAUGUUGAUGUAUGAAUAGACUGUGAUAAGGCUUGAUGUAUGAAUAGACUGUGAAAGGCUUGAUGUAUGAAUAAACUGUGAUAAGGCUUGAUGUAUGAAUAGAUUGUGAUACAGUUGAUGUAUGGGUAAUGGUGUUAAAGUUUGAUACUGAUUCAUGGCCUUGAUUGCAUGCUUAUAUCUGAGAUUGUACUGAUCGUUUGUAUGCUUAUGUCCAUAUGAGAUUUUAGUGGCUAUUAGUGUUACCAUUGGGCUAUGCACAUCGCAUGUGUGAGCCUUCAGACCCACACCCUAUGCUUAUGUACGGUGUCAUUUUUGGGAUCACCGUUUGUGUUUAUGCCUGUGACUUUUUGUGUCACUACUUAUGAAAGCGUGUCUUCGGGUUCGCCCCUUAUGCCUAUGCCUAUGCCUAUGUCUAUGUUUAUGAAGUCUUUGUGCAUUUUGGUUCAAUGGAAAGACUAACAGAUCACUGAGUGAGCCCAGUAGUGGGCUGCUUACUGAGUAUAUUUUUAUAGUCACCCUUUCUUUCUCUAUUUUUCAGGUAAGGGUAAUGACAGACUGGCGCAUGACAAAAGAGAAUCGUGACCUGGCUAUUAGGACGAUUUACUGCUUCCGCACUUAGUGUUUUGAAGUCUGGCUUAGGAAUUAGACGUUUUACACUCUCAUGCAAAAUUCAUUUAUUUUAUUAAUUGACUAUUUAAUUGUUUUCAUUUUAAAGUUGGGUUUAGAGGUAUCCCAAAUGGUAAAUUUUUAUUUUAUUUUAUUUUGUUUUGUUUUAGUUUAUUUAUUAUUAUUUAAUUAUGUUUUCAUAUCUUUGCUCAUUUGAGCAUUACUAAAUAAAAUUAAGCUUUUAUUUGAUGGUUUAAAAGAAAAUGUACGGUUAAGCCUAUGCAUGCAUGAAGUAGCGUCCUAGAAUUAAGUAGGAAACCAGGGGCAUUACACACCCAGUUUCGUACAAUAUUCUUUUUCUUUAGUUAUAUCUGCUUUUCAUUAACUUUUCUUUUCUUUACAAGUUCUUUUCUCAUCUCUCUUGUUAUUUUGUUGGUAUUUAUCAUUAUGGUUUUUCGCACAAUAAUUGUAGAUUCAAAGUUUUGACUUUCUUAAUCAAAAGUCUCUAUGUAUCAUGCCAGGAAGUAGGCUCAUGUUGGCUUCUAUCCACCGUAGAUUUUUACCUUCUAUCAAUAAUGGAAUCAGUAAUAGAAGUCUGUCAUGAACAGACUUCAGUUCACAACCUAAAUUUGUCGACACUAGACUUUGGAUUUAAACACAGGGCAAAAAUAGCAAACUAUUUUUUUUAAUUAAUUCCAAUUUUACCCUUACUCGAAGUAUCAUGAUAAACUUCUAUCAAUAGUAGAAGAAUAUCACUCAAUAGAACUCCAUUGGUGACAAAUUCUUGUUACCUAUUGAAAUCUAUUAGUUAGUCACAAUGUUGGCAGCUAAACAAUAACCAAACAAAUCAGAAAAAUCCUAAUACAAAAGGAAAAGGCAAGAAUGUAAGAAGUCAACUAAAGAUAUUAGAAGAAGCAAUAGUAUAUCAACAUUAUUGAGUUCCUUGUAUUUAGUUGAUGAAUAUUCUUAUGGGGUUUAACAAAAAAUUAUCUUUAAUAUAACCAUAUACAAGUGUAGAAUUUCUCAAUGAUAUUAAUCCAUCAUUGGUUAAGCUCUAUCAUUGAUAGGACAUACCAUGAUAUAAAAUAAGAAAAUGUCAUCAACAUUACAAUCUCACUUUUUUUUUCACCCAACCAAAUAAUCCUUCUCUAUCUAUUCAAAUGUUGCCUAUUUCUUGGUGAGAUGUAAGUGUAACCACAGAACGAUAGAAGACUAAACAUACAUAAAAGAUAAUUAAAAAUGUAAAAGUUUGUCGAUUAUUGAACCUUACAGACUAAUAGAGGAAGCUGUCAGUUAUAGACUCAUAUCAGUAAUAGAUUAUUACUCAUAUGUAGAGGUAUAGCUGUCAGUUAUAGACUCCUAUCAGUGGUAGAUUACUAUUCACAUGUAGAAUUAUAUCAUUAAUAGAAGUCUUUCACUGACAACAUACUUUAUCAGUGAUAGAAGUCUUUCAUCGAUAACGAUACUCAAUCAUUGAUACGAGUCUAUCUUAGGAGUAAAUUGUGUGCUUAGUUAAAUUGGGACAAUUUAGUAAUUUUAGAAUUUAAAAAAGGGUAAAUAUAAAUUUAUACUCUUGAAGUUUGGAGGUUGUAUCAAUUUAAACUCUAAACUAAUAACUGUAUCAGUUUAAACUCUGAACUUUGAUAAGUGUAUUAGUUUAAACCCCAAACUAAUAAUUGUAUCAAUUUAAACCUUGAACUUUCAUAAGUGUAUCAAUUUAAACCCUCCGUUAUGUUUUAUUUGGAUUAUGAAAAUCUAAGGUUUAAAUUGAUAUAUUUAUUAAAGUUUAGUGUUAUGCUUUUUUUGGCAGAUAAUAUUUUCUUUUAUCUCUAUUAUUGAAUAUUUUGUCUCUGACUUUUUGGGCGAAUAUUUGGCUCUAGUUUUCUUAUAAUGUUUGGUUAUCGAUCUUCUAGGUGAUUCUUUUUUGUAUAAAGGUUCUUGCCAUGUAUGUGGGAUUAUUUCCUUUUUGGUGUUGUAUUUAGUUGUAUGCUUGCUCUUGAAUUAGGCAAGCUGUAUGUUGUUGAGUAAGUUACUCUACUUAAUGUUUUUUUUU